rnacentral:rRNA from 1 species
AUGCCGAGGCCGGUGCCCCCAAGUCCGCCGCCGCAGCGCGAGGACACAGGGUGGCCACAGAGGCCCGAGUUCCCGGAGAAGGAGUCCUUGGAGAAGGCAGAGCCGAGCUGGGACGGGAUCUGGCCCUCGAGGUGGUUCCCGGAGAGGUCGAGCGCCUUGAGGCGGUCGAGGCGCGCGAGGGAGGCGGGGAUCUGGCCGGAGAAGGCGUUGUCGCUGAGCUUGAGCGAGUUGAGGAAGCGGCAGUUGGCGAGCUCGGAGGGGAGCGGGCCGGUGAGGCGGUUGCCGGAGAGGUCGAGGUUGACGACGAAGGGGAUCCAGUCGCAGAGCGCGGGCGGUAUCUGGCCCUCGAGCGCGUUGGAGGAGAGGUCGAGCGUGUUGGCGGAGCGGCAGUACUGGAGCGCGGGGGGGAUUUUGCCCUGGAGGCCGAAGCCGGAGAGGGAUACGGCGAGGAUGCGCGACUCCUGCGGGUUCCAGCAGGAGAUGCCG